CCUACGGGAGGCAGCAGUGGGGAAUAUUGGACAAUGGGGGAAACCCUGAUCCAGCAAUGCCGCGUGGGUGAAGAAGGCCUGCGGGUUGUAAAGCCCUUUCGAUGAGGACAUUUAACUCAUUAAAGAAGCACCGGCUAACUCUGUGCCAGCAGCCGCGGUAAUACAGAGGGUGCGAGCGUUAAUCGGAAUUACUGGGCGUAAAGCGCACGUAGGCGGCUUGGUAAGUUGGAUGUGAAAUCCCCGGGCUUAACUUGGGAAUUGCAUUCAAGACUGCCUUGCUAGAGUGUGGGAGAGGGAAGCGGAAUUCCAGGUGUAGCGGUGAAAUGCGUAGAUAUCUGGAGGAACAUCAGUGGCGAAGGCGGCUUUCUGGCCCAAACUGACGCUGAGGUGCGAAAGCGUGGGGAGCAAACAGGAUUAGAUACCCUUGUAGUC
rnacentral:rRNA from 1 species